rnacentral:lncRNA from 1 species
GGGUUGUGACCCAUUUUGACGGCUCUACUUAAAAAGGCCUCACAUCAAUUUUAAAGGUUUCUCACUUUUUCAACUAAUAUAUUAGUUCUUCUUUUAAUUUAUUUUAUUGAAAGUUCAUUUUGUAUUUAAAGUACUAUAAAAAUGAAAUGAAAUAAAGUUAGGAAAAUCUCACUAAAUAAAUAUAUUGAAAUAAAAUAAGGAUGAGGUUAACAACACCUCCC